rnacentral:rRNA from 1 species
CAGCCGCCGCGGUAAUACGUAGGGUGCGAGCGUUAAUCGGAAUUACUGAGCGUAAAGCGUGCGCAGGCGGUUUUGUAAGACAGGCGUGAAAUCCCCGGGCUCAACCUGGGAAUGGCGCUUGUGACUGCAAAGCUAGAGUGCGGCAGAGGGGGAUGGAAUUCCGCGUGUAGCAGUGAAAUGCGUAGAUAUGCGGAGGAACACCGAUGGCGAAGGCAAUCCCCUGGGCCUGCACUGACGCUCAUGCACGAAAGCGUGGGGAGCAAACAGGAUUAGAUACCCCGGUAGUCCCUGUCUCUUAUAC